CAAUAGCGUAUAUUUAAGUUGUUGCAGUUAAAAAGCUCGUAGUCGGAUUUCGGGGCGUUCCGACCGGUCUGCCGAUGGGUAUGCACUGGCCGGAGUGUCCUUUUUGCCGGAGACCGUGCCUACUCUUAACUGAGCGGGGGCGGGAGACGGCACUUUUACUUUGAAAAAAUCAGAGUGUUUCAAGCAGGCAGCUCGCUCUUGCAUGGAUUAGCAUGGGAUAAUGAAAUAGGACUUUGGUGCUAUUUUGUUGGUUUCGAACACCGAAGUAAUGAUGAGAAGGGACAGUCAGGGGCACUCGUAUUCCGCAGAGAGAGGUGAAAUUCUCAGACCCGCGGAAGACGAACCACUGCGAAAGCAUUUGCCAGGGAUGUUUNCACUGA
rnacentral:rRNA from 1 species